rnacentral:rRNA from 1 species
GACGAACGCUGGCGGCGUGCCUAAUACAUGCAAGUCGAACGCAGUGGGGAAGGGAGAGUAACACGUGGGUAACCUCCCAGCAGAGGGGAUAACAACUGGAAACAGGUGAUAAACCGAUACUGAUGGAUGGACCCGCAGUGCAUGAGCUAGUUGGUGAGGUAACGGUUAACCAAGGCCACGAUGUAUAACCGACUGUUGAGGGUGUGCUGCAACACUCGGACUUAUACACGGCCCAGACUCCUACGGGAGGCAGCAGUAGUGACUCUUCGGUAAUGGCCGAAAGUCUGACCGAGCAACACCCCGUGAGUGAAGAAGGUUUUCGGAUCGUAAAACUCUGUUGUUAGAGAAUCGGUAUCGAACCAUAUAGCCACGGCUAACUACGUGCCAGCAGCCGCGGUAAUUC